UACGUAGGUGGCAAGCGUUGUCCGGAUUUACUGGGUGUAAAGGGCGUGUAGCCGGGUUGACAAGUCAGAUGUGAAAUCCUGCGGCUUAACCGCAGAACUGCAUUUGAAACUGUUGAUCUUGAGUACUGGAGAGGCAGACGGAAUUCCUAGUGUAGCGGUGAAAUGCGUAGAUAUUAGGAGGAACACCAGUGGCGAAGGCGGUCUGCUGGACAGCAACUGACGGUGAGGCUCGAAAGCGUGGGGAGCAAACAGG
rnacentral:rRNA from 1 species